rnacentral:lncRNA from 1 species
CCUCUCCCCAGCCGGGCGGGCCGCCGGGUCUUUGCCUUCCCUCUGCGCGCCUCUCCGCUCUCCAGGACUCGAGCGAGGCAGCGGGAAGCCCACCCUAGUUCUUGGAAGGGGCAGGGGAAGGAUGGGCUGGGGAGGGGGCGCGCGGGAAAGGGCCGCCGAGCUUGGGUUGCCCAGCUGACCCCACUCCUCGAGGUCGGGCUGGGGGGGUGGGGCGGCAAGGGCUUCGGAGGCUUGGCCCCUGCUUGGCUCCGGACCUGGCUCCCGCCUCGGUAACCACACUCUCGGCCUUUGGCUUUACCGAGCUGGGACCCUUCUCCCAUCCCCCUUCCCUCCAGCCUCGUGAAACAACGACCCCCACCAGCAGCAGCAGCGCCCGCUUUGCCCCGGCUCCGGAGCGCUGUUUACCUAAUCUCAGCGGCUGACCGAGCCCAGCAGAAUGCGAAAGGGAGGCAGCGGUGGUACAGCAGCGUCCCCGGCGAAGAAGUAAAAGACGUUUGCUUUGGAGCUUCGGGAUAAGUUAACUGCGAAGCUGGGGUCCUGCUGUCUUACCUCUGCGGCGAUGAGCCUCACCGUGCACGUUGGCAGGCAUAGCAGAUUCUGUUUCUGAUGCCAUUACCGUGUCGGAGAAGAACAUUAUAUGAAAAAAUACUAUCUAAUAUCCUAGAGACCAUUAAAGUGUCAAAGUUUAAUGCCAA